rnacentral:rRNA from 1 species
GACCGAAUAGUGUCCUCCUGCUCCGGAGAUGUAAUCUCGCUGCCAGAAUUCAUAUGCUUGUCCCGAAGACUCAAGCCAUGCAUGCCUAGAAGAAAAAUUGACGCCCUACUGGUGCUGCGGGCCCUCCCAGGCUCGUUAGUGCCGACCGGGAUUGUUAAGGAAUCAGCGAACGGCUCCGCAUAUCUGUUGUCACCUAUCGUGGUAAAUACGGCGUGGAUAGAGCACGGAAAAGCUGUGUAUAACACAGAACAGUGGGGUCACCGCUGCCCGUUGGCAUGGGCAGUGGGGAUAAGUGGGCCCAUACGUAUGGGCCCCACCUCAUGAACGGCUCUUAAAGUAGUACAGGGACUAAAGACCCCUGGACGAAACAGAGGCCUCUGCCUCGGACAUGUCUACCGACUGCCUUGACCGGGGUUGGUCUUGUCUGAGCGCGGCAGAGCCCAUCCACAAGCGCACGAUGGACUUCAGACCUAUCAGCUAGACGGUAGGGUAUUGGCCUACCGUGGCGAUGACGGGUACAGAGGAUUAGGGUUUGAUC